AUACGGAGGAUGCAAGCGUUAUCCGGAUUUAUUGGGUUUAAAGGGUGCGUAGGCGGUUUGCUAAGCGGGAGGGGAAAUGCCGGCGCUCAACGUCGGAAGUGCCUCCCGAACUGGGGGACUGGAAUGACUCUGCCGUGGGAGGAAUGUGUAGUGUAGCGGUGAAAUGCUUAGAGAUUACACAGAACACCGAUUGCGAAGGCAUCUCACGAAGGGUUGAUUGACGCUGAGGCACGAAAGCGUGGGGAUCAAACAGGAUUAGAUACCCUGGUAGUCCACGCAGUAAACGAUGAUGGCUAACCGCUGGUUUUUUCGGAUCAGUGGCCAAGCGAAAGCGAUAAGCCAUCCACCUGGGGAGUACGACCGCAAGGUUGAAACUCAAAUGAAUUGACGGGG
rnacentral:rRNA from 1 species